CUUAUCAAGAGAGACAAAGGGAUUGGUCCGAUGAAGCCCGACAUCCAGCAUUUAUCAUUAGAAUGUAUUGGUGUCAAUUCCUGCAGGAAAAAAUUCUGACAGAUAAGG
rnacentral:ncRNA from 1 species